AGCAAAUAGUGUAUUUGGAACAUGAUGGAGCCUCCGUCAGCCAGAGGAUAUGGAAAGUUUACAAGACUGACCUAGAAGAAUUCAGAAACAAGAUAAACAGCGACAUCAUGAACAACCACCACCACCAAAAUGAAAGCAUACCAGUCAGUAUAACUUUGUUCACAGCUGAUCAACAUCACGCCCAAAUAUAAGUAUUGCAUAUAUAACCCUAGCCCACCUAGCCUUUAAACCAUUGAAUGGUGUUGCUUGUGUUGCUGUUGUUGCUAAUAGUUGAUUUCCUUUUUUCACAUUUCCUGGUUUAUUAUAAGGGAUAUUACAAGGGAUACAUAUGAAAAGAUGCAUAGGGUGAGGUAUGGGGAAAGGGGCAUGAAGCUCCCUGAAGCCUGACCUCUUGGGUUUUUAUAGAAGCUUUAUGAGGUCAGCAUUCCUUCCCCCGGGUUAUAGGGUAGGACCCUUUUUGGGAAAGGUCUCAUGACUCACAACCAGAAAGGUGGAGGAAGAUUAAAGUCCUGCAUUGGAGUGGGUAAAAGGAGGGCAGGAGAAGAUCUGAGCAUUCUGUUUUCUUUUUUUUUUUUUUUUUUUCUAUUUUAUUUUUUUUUAUUUUUUAUUUUUAUUUUUUUUUAAAUUUUUUUUUUUUUUAUUAUACUUUAAGUUUUAGGGUACAUGUGCACAUUGUGCAGGUUAGUUACAUAUGUAUACAUGUGCCAUGCUGGUGCGCUGCACCCACUAACGUGUCAUCAAUCAUUAGGUAUAUCUCCCACUGCUAUCCCUCCCCCCUCCCCCGACCCCAC
rnacentral:lncRNA from 1 species